CCCACUUCAACUUUUGGUGACUAGGUCUAUGCAAAAGCUUCUGUUCGACAUAUCGUAUCCACUAUCAUAAGUAUACAACUGCUACAAUUUAUGACCCAUUGUAGUGGGUAAAAUAUCAGAUCACCUUGUAGAUCAAUGGAGUUUGUAAUACCAUAGGUUGAUGAUAGUGAAGAAUCACUAUCAAGUUAUUUCAAUGAGCCAAUAGGUUAAAGAUUCAAGUGAGUGUUCAAUGAGAGCAUGAUCACGACUAGUUCGAUCAACCCCAUAUUUAUAUUUUCAUUAUAUAUAAUUGUACCAGCC
rnacentral:lncRNA from 1 species